UUUAACAAACCUUGACAGAUUUCUCUGGAAAUUUUUCAACCUUGGUCUUGUCAUAUAUAAAUUCUAUCGUUCUUUGUUGACCGCUAUUAGAAAGAAAACUAGUUUUAUGUAGAGACGUACGUAAUAUAAGAAAUUACACUGAAAAUUAUUUGUGAAUUUAUUAUUACAUAUAAAGGGAUUUUUUUAAAAUAACAAGUUAAAUCGUUUAUUGAUCUGACUGGAACAUUUUAUUUAAUGAUUUGUUUUCCUCAUUUUGUCAAAAAGGAAGGAUAUAUUACAAGUUUUCGUUGAUCGUUCGUUUAAUAGAAGAAGAUUUCAUUAAAUUAUACUGAGUUCGUAAAAAGUUGAUUGAAUAAUCAUACAGAAAACUUUCGAAGAGUGAACAAAUAGUGUGAAAUAUUGAAAGUGUGAAACAAUCUCUGGUUUCAAUUUGAGGUUCUGAGUAUAUGUGUACAGAAGAAUAUUGAAGCAAAUACCUUUUAAAGAAACUCUGUCACAACGCAUAUGCAAGUUGGAUUAGAUUUGUCUAUAUAGAUUGCGUUCCUAAGAAAUGCUAAUGAACAAUAAAACUGGGCAAGCUUUUCCCCUGUAUUAUCCAGGACCACGGGUGUAUCAACAUCGGCCAUGUUACCAGGGACCAGAUUGCACGUGUCCGCCAUCAAGGGCACAUGAUACAUUUCUUCAUCAGAUAUUGACGGGAAAGGGAUAUAAAAAUGACUGUUUGUUUGUUAAUCGACCAAUCAAACAGGAAGUUUAUCAUGAUUAUAGCUGUUGCUAUGGUAAUGGGUACCCUCCACCGUAUCCAUAUUCCCAUCAAUAAAAGGAAUCCUUUCCAAGACCAGCUACAGAACAGAUAGAAAAUUGCAAGCUUUGGAGACUAACAUUUGAAUUACGAAAAAUAGUACUAUUUGGGAGGGUUCUUUUACUUAUUUUAUCGUCAAUUUCUUCUAAAAAAAAGUUACUGACUAUUAAUAGGUUUGCUAUGGUAAUUGUCAUUUCACACCAGACUUCAUUCACUGACUUUAUCUUCAAAUGCAAUUUACUGACUUUAUCUUCAAAUGCAAUUCACUGACUUAAUCUUCAAAUUAAAUUCACUGACUUUAUCUUUAAAUGCAAUUCACUGACUUAAUCUUCAAAUUAAAUUCACUGACUUUAUCUUCAAAUUAAAUUUACUGAUUUUAUCUUCAAAUUAAAUUCACUGACUUUAUCUUCAAAUGCAAUUCACUGACUUUAUCUUCAAAUGCAAUUCAUUGACUUUAUCUUCAAAUGCAAUUCACUGACUUAAUCUUCAAAUUAAAUUCACUGACUUUAUCUUCGAAUUAAAUUUACUGACUUUAUCUUCAAAUUAAAUUCACUGACUUUAUUUUCAAAUGCAAUUCACUGACUUUAUAUUCAAAUGCAAGUCACUGACUUAAUCUUCAAAUUCAAUUCACUGACUUAAUUUUUGAAUGCAAUUCACUGACUUUAUCUUCAAAUGCAAUUCACUGACUUAAUCUUCAAAUUAAAUUCACUGACUUAAUCUUCAAAUUAAAUUCACUGACUUUAUCUUCAAAUUGAAUUCACUGACUUUAUCUUCAAAUGCAAUUCACUGACUUUAUCUUCAAAUGCAAUUCACUAACUUUAUCUUUAAAUGCAAAUUCAAAUUCAAUUUUUGAAUAUGUUAAGUGUCAUAGUAAGUGUUCAUUUUCGAAAAAAAACUAUUCACAAAACCAAUGUCAAAUGAAAGAAUAUGUGGAAAUAUGUAGAAAACACGAAAUAUUGAAAUUUGAAAUUUGAGAGAAACAAAUAUGGGUCGAGUGUUGAAAUCUUGUUGGUUUACACACACUUCAAUAAAACAAAGCAAGCAGAUUUAUAAUAACUUUAUUAAUAUUAUUAAUUUAGUCUAGUAAAGAACACAUGCUCAUUGUAGUUUAAGUAUAGUAUCUCUUAUAUUUUGCGUUUUGAAUAAAUAUUUUUUUUUGGUGUGGUAUGAUUACCAAUGAGACAACUAUCCAACAAGGUUCAAAUGAAGUGGAUGUAAGUAAUUAUAGGCAACCGUACGGCCUUCAACAAUGAGAAUAACCCAUACCGUAUAUCAUAUGUUUGUAGGGAGAAAUAUCAUUAUAGUACAUUUUUAUCUUGGUGACUUGGAAAUCAUAUUACUGUACACAGUAUAAAUAUCUAAAUUAUGUCAUUAAAUAUAUUUAUUAGAUAUGA